AAUGAACGCUGGCGGCAGGCCUAAAACAUGCAAGUCGAACGCUGUAGCAAUACAGAGUGGCGCACGGGUGAGUAACAUGUGGGAAUAUGCCUUUUGGUACGGAACAACUUUUGGAAACGAAAGCUAAUACCGUAUGGUCCCUUCGGGGUAAAGAUUUAUCGCCAAAAGAUUAGCCCGCACUAGAUUAGCUAGUUGGUGAGGUAACGGCUCACCAAGGCGACGAUCUAUAGCUGUUCUGAGAGGAAGAUCAGUCACACUGGGACUGAGACACGGCCCAGACUCCUACGGGAGGCAGCAGUUAGGAAUAUUGGACAAUGGGCGCAAGCCUGAUCCAGCCAUGCCGCGUGAACGAUGAAGGCCUUCGGGUUGUAAAGUUCUUUAGCCGAUGAUUAUAAUGACUGUAGUCGGAAAAUAAGCCCCGGCUAACUUCGUGCCAGCCGCCGCAGUAA
rnacentral:rRNA from 1 species